GAGGGUAGAACUCAGUGGUAAGGCAUGUGCUUAUUAGCAUGCACAAGGUCCUGGGUUCAAUUCCCAGUACCUCUA
rnacentral:tRNA from 1 species